GUGGACUUUUCUGUAGAAUGACCCAUUCAUUGUAAAAUGAAGUAAAUAUUAAAAAUGAACAACUUUCAUGUUAGCCUAUGGGAAAAAAUAAUGGAGUAACUUCAACCUACUAACUAAUUAAAGAUGUCAUCAGAUCAUGUGUGCUUUCAGCAGUUAAAAUUUUAAACAUCAAAAUCAUGAUGCCCCCCAAUAGUAGGCUACUGAAUAUAAGAUGUGGGAUAAUAUAAGAAUGGGACAUUUUAUCCAAGUCAUCUCAAUGGUAAAAAGUGUCCCAAUCACCCUGAACUGGAGCUCUAAAAUAAUGUUAUUGACUUCAACUGAUGAAUGCAGCCAAAGAAAAGAUGAAGAAUGGAAAAGCACUUUGCUGGCAAAGAAAUUGGAAAAUAACACAGGUUACGCGCAUGUAUCCAUGGCAACGCUCGGCGUCGACAGUUAACGGUCCUGCCGGUGAUUUUCUCAGAUGAGGCCUUGAGUUUUCUCUUUCGUCGGUCAAAAAGGUAUUUUAAAUUUUAGUUUAGCAGACAUUAGCUACCAUAACCACUGUUUAUCUUGUAAAGUUUAAAUUAUAUGACAAGAUUACAUUUACAAACGUUUGCUGAAGUUGUUGUCCGUCGCGGCUGACCGUUACGGCCUAUCUUCAAAUGUACGCUAAUCUUGGUCUCACGAAUCCAAAUUGUCAGUAACAAAUGUUUCUUAAUAGACAAACGAUACCUGAAACAUUAUUGAAUGUGUUCAUUUUGUCGUUUUAGGUUAGAAGCCAUCGAAAAAACUGCCAUCGGACUGCCACAGCUGACAACGAGAGACGCGCGUGCACAACUGCAUAACACACACACACACACACACACACACGGAAAGAGCACAACAAUUAUGAAACUGAUAAUUUAUUAUAAAUAAAUAAAUGUAUUUUUCUCCUUA